rnacentral:lncRNA from 1 species
GGUUAUUACCCGUGUGUCACACGGAUUGAACGGUAAAAAAAGAAAACACAUAUAACUUUAUAUUCAAAACAGUUUAAAUAAAAUAAAUGCAAAAGUUUCCUUAACAAAUGAUAAAUGAACAAAAAAGACUACAAAUUUCCAAAAAUUUCUUUGUAUACAACAUUUGUGGUCUUAUUUGUAGCAUGGCCAUCUUUAUCUGUUAUCAGCAUCUUUAAACCGGCUCUACUUUUAACCCUUGAUAGUGCCACAUAAAGUUGACCAUGUGAGAAAACAGGAUCUUUGAGAUACAAUCCAACCUUGGAUAAUGAUUGUCCCUGACUUUUGUUAAUAGUCAUUGCAAAACAAACAGCAACCGGAAACUGUCUUCUUUUGAACUUGAAAGGAAUUUUCUUAUCAGAUGGUGACAGACUAAGGCGAGGGAUGAAAGUUCUUGUACCAAUAUUAGCACCAGAUAUAAUCUCAGCUUCAAUCACCCUAUUACCAAGAUAAAGUACUCGUAGUCUUGUACCAUUACACAAACCAUUCUUUUGGUCAAUAUUUCGAAGUAGCAUUAUUGGAACACCCACCUUCAAAACUAAUUGAUGAUUAGGAAACAAAGACAUCAAGCGAUCAUUGAUAGAUUGAACAACCUCAUUUGUAGGUGCUAAAAUGGCUCUAUCGUCAAAAUAGUUAGGCUCAUGGAAUCUAUCAAGAAUGGAAGGAUAGACAAAGUUAAUUAAAUCAAUAAUAGGAUCAGAAGAAUCACCAAUUAAAAGAUCUUCAGAGUCGAUCCCUAAAGAUAACCUCAUGUUCUUUGUCAACCUUAAGACUUUGACGUUUGACCAAAUAUAAGAAGAACAUAAUGACGCAUUAACAAUGUCAUGCCUGCUUCCAUUUUGUACCACAGGAAGAAUCUGCCUAAAGUCUCCACCAAAAACAACGACCUUACCUCCAAACAUGAUGUUUGAGCUGCUAUGAUUGCCAGAGAUCAAAAUGUCAUUCAUUGUUCUAUUUAGGGCUUCAAAGGCAUGUUUGUGAGUCAUUGGAGCUUCGUCCCAAAUAAUCAAGGAGGCUUUUUUUAGUAGCUCUGCAGCAUCACUAUUUGGCUUAAUAAAACACAUAGAGUCUUCGGAUAGAUUUAAAGGAAUAGAGAAACGGGAAUGUGCGGUCCUGCCUCCGGUUAGUAACAAAGAUGCAAUUCC